ensembl:snRNA U2 U2 spliceosomal RNA
AUCGCUUCUCAGCCUUUUGGCUAAGAUUAAGUGUAGUAUCUGUUCUUAUCAGUUUGAUUUAUAUAAAAAAAAAAAAGUAUCUGGUAUGUCAGCUAUUACCAAAGGCCUGGGAAUUCUGU